GCUUUGGCCGAGUGGUUAAGGC
rnacentral:siRNA from 1 species